rnacentral:rRNA from 1 species
ACGAACGCUGGCGGCGUGCCAAUACAUGCAAGUCGAACGGUCUUUCUAUGGAAGCUUGCUUCCACUGAGAAGAUAGUGGCGAACGGGUGAGUAGCACGUGGGUAACCUGCCCAUAAGAGGGGGAUAACAUCCGGAAACGGGUGCUAAUACCGCAUAGUUUUCUUGAUCGCAUGAUUGAGAAAGGAAAGACGGCCUUUGUGCUGUCGCUUAUGGAUGGACCCGCGGCGUAUUAGUUAGUUGGUGAGGUAACGGCUCACCAAGACGAUGAUACGUAGCCGACCUGAGAGGGUGAUCGGCCACAUUGGGACUGAGACACGGCCCAAACUCCUACGGGAGGCAGCAGUAGGGAAUCUUCCGCAAUGGACGAAAGUCUGACGGAGCAACGCCGCGUGAGUGAAGAAAGGUUUUCGGAUCGUAAAACUCUGUUGUCAGAGAAGAACAAGUUGGAGAGUAACUGCUCCAGCCUUGACGGUAUCUGACCAGAAAGCCACGGCUAACUACGUGCCAGCCGCUGC